rnacentral:rRNA from 1 species
GACGAACGCUGGCGGCGUGCUUAACACAUGCAAGUCGAACGUGAUUUUUAUGGAAGAACCUUCGGGGACGGAAGUAAAUGAAAGUGGCGAACGGGUGAGUAACACGUGAGCAACCUACCUUACACAGGGGGAUAGCCGUUGGAAACGACGAUUAAUACCGCAUGAGACCACAAUACUGCAUGGUAUAGGGGUCAAAGAUUUAUCGGUGUAAGAUGGGCUCGCGUCUGAUUAGCUAGUUGGAAGGUAAGGCUACCAAGGCGACGAUCAGUAGCCGGUCUGAGAGGAUGAACGGCCACACUGGAACUGAGACACGGUCCAGACUCCUACGGGAGGCAGCAGUGGGGAAUAUUGCACAAUGGGGGAAACCCUGAUGCAGCGACGCCGCGUGAGCGAAGAAGGUUUUCGAAUCGUAAAGCUCUGUCCUAUGAGAAGAUAAUGACGGUAUCAUAGGAGGAAGCCCCGG